AUGAUGUUCACGGAGGGCCUCGAUGAGUCGGCCAUCAGCUGGAUCAAGCAGGGCACGGACACUCCCCCGGCCGCGGCGAGGUCCCCGCUGGCGGAGCGGCUGCCUCUGGGCCAGAUCUCGGCGGACGCGGCGGCGCCGAGGAGCCCCGCGCUGUACAACAGGGCGUGCGUCGGCCUCUUCUCCCCCAAGAGCCUGCCGCCGCCGGUGCGAACCGCCACGCGCCACUCGGGGCUCCUCGGCCGCCACUCCGUGCUCCUCGCCGCGGACUCCGAGGAGGAGGAGGAGGGGGAGGAGAGCGUCGCGUCCUGGGGGCUGACCGAGGACUGCGGCUACGGCUACUUCUCUGACCACACGGCCGAGGAGGACGGGGUGUGCUCCAGCGACUCCAGCCUGUUCCGGAGGGCGAGGGACCUGUACGGUAAUGGCGUCGAGGACGAGGUCACGUCGCAGUUCAGCCGGAGGGGCGGCGGGCUUGCCCGGGGCCAGUCCAAGGAGAACCUUCGGGUCGAGGUGCGAGCCGCGGCCGCGGCCGCGUUUGCCGGGAAAAGCUCCCGUGGUCAGGAUCAGGUGGACCGCACCUCGCAUGAGCGCUACGCUGAUGUGCAGAAAUUCCAGGAUUUCGGGCCACCGAGUGCUCCCCCAAUUGCUGCACGAGUUGGGGAGGUGGAUGGCAUUCUCGAUGCAAUUGCUGACGAGAGCGGAGGCUUUGAGAAGACUGAGAUCUCCUCAGUGGCGGAUAUACUGGCUCAAGAUGUUCAUGAGCUUCCUACGAGAUCAACUGCUCAGGCUGAUGGUGUUCAGAUGCCGUACAUCGAGAACAAUUUAUUAGCUCAGAUACCCAGCUUCACAACCAAUGUCCAAAAUGCAUGGCAAUCAUUUGUUGCAUAUGAUGCAUGCUUUCGGCUUUGUCUGAAUGCAUGGGCAAAAAAUUGCAUGGAGGCUCCAGAAUUCCUCCGCGAUGAGUGCAUGGUACUUAGAAGCGCCUUUGGAAUACAGAAAUUUUUGCUUCAUCCAAAGCAUAAGAAUCAAGAUGAUGGAAAACAUACCUAUGAUAAGGAUGAAAGUUGUAGCAUGAAGACAAGGAAACUUGUUAAACGGAUUGAGAUCGAAGUAAGAAAGAUACGUGUUGUACCGCAAAGACCAAAGCUUCGCGCGACAUCAUCCUUUAGAAAUCUCUACAUGCAAGCUGGUAGCGAGUAUGUCAGACAGAUUUCUAAAAUUCUGAAGAGCCAGGUCACUAUGCUGACAUCCACAUCAUCUACAUCUUUGCCAGAAGAAAUGUUUACAUGCACACUAGAAUUAAAAAGCUCCCUCAAAGGUCAACAAAGAGAUUCCAUUUCUCUGCAAUAUUUGAAGCCGGGGACUGGUGAAUCUCAACUCUUUUAUCUAGAGGGCCAGGGAGACGUUAUUCUUGUUGAAGUACAAGAUAACAAUAGAGUUGUCAUAGGCCGUGCAGAAAUUCAAGUUUCAUCAUUCAGUGAUGCCCACCAGGAGGAAUUCACCAGAUGGUGGCCUCUAUACCUUGAGGAUCAAGAAUGUGUGGGCAAAAUUCAACUUUGUCUGAACUUGUCCAUGCCUGCGGACAAUUAUGGAUCUGCAAAGAUGCUGCAAGGUGGUCUGGCUGUCGAUACAAUUAUAUAUGACAUGGUUCUGGAAGCAGCAAUGAGAGCUCAAAAUUUCAACAGCAAAAUGUUGCACAUCAGUGGUUCGUGGAAAUGGCUGUUGGAUGAAUUUUCUGAUUACUAUGGGUUAUCAGACGCAUAUAGAAAAUUGAGGUACCUUUGUUACAUUAUGAAUGUGGCAACGCCAACAAAGGAUUGCUUGGAACUUACAUAUGAGCUGCUUCUCCCUGUCAUAAAAGCACGGGACGACAGAACUUUAACAAGACAAGAGAGAAGUAUACUGCUUGACUGUGAAGAUAGGAUCAAUGUUCUUCUUGCGAUUGUGUUCGAAAAUUAUAAAUCACUGGAUGAGCAUUCUAUUACGGGCUUAUCGGAGCUAUUUGGCCCGAUAUCAGAUUGUGCUGCACCAGCUUUGGCACCUGCAGUUCAGAUAUUCAGUGUACUGCAUGAUAUACUCUCUAAUGAAGCACAGAGCAUACUCAGGAGCUAUCUGCAGGCUGCUGCAGCAAAGAGGUGCAGGAGGCAUAUGAUUGAGACAGACGAGUUCAUGUCAAGCAAUAAUGACAAUCUUCUUACAGACGACAUGACUAUUUCUGCUGCCUAUCUCAAAAUGAAGACAUUAUGCAUUAACAUAAGUCUUGAGAUUCAAGCAGACAUCAAGAUUCACGAUCAGAAUAUACUCCCAAGUUCGAUAGAUCUUCCAAACAUAGCAGCAUCUCUCUAUAGUACGGAACUAUGCAAACGGUUGAAGGGUUUUCUCUCUGCAAGUCCCCCAUCAAGACCCUUACAACAUGUUGCUGAACUGCUCAUCGCGACUGCUAAUUUUGAGAGGGAUCUUGACUCCUGGCAAGUCAGACCUGUUCAUGGGGGUGUACUUUCAAGGGAGUUGUUUCAUGAUUACAUUAUGGUGUGGAUUGAAGAUACCCGGUUGCACUUGCUUGAUUAUUGCAAAGCUGAGAAGUUAUCCUAUCCUGCAGCAUCUACAACUUCACCAUUUGUCGAGCAAAUAUAUGAGCAAAUAAGAGAAAGCAUAAAUGAGUAUGGAGUAGUUAUCAACAGAUGGCCUCAAUAUCUAAUGAGUUUGGAGAGUGCUAUUGCUGAUGUCGAAAGAGAAGUUAUGAAGGCACUGGAGAAGCAAUACAUGGAGACUCUAAUGCCUCUGAGAGACGGCAUACCAAAAAUUCUUGAGAAGCAUGUUCAAAGACUGACAAGAAGACAAUCGGUAGCUCCAUAUGUUGUGCCAAAUCAGUUAGGAACAUUCAUGAAUACAGUUAAAAGAAUGCUAGAUGUGUUACACUGCCGGGUUGAGGAUAUUCUCAAAUCAUGGGCAUCAUAUCUAACCAUAGCAAACGGGACCACACUUUUUGGAGAGCAAAUGAACUCCAUCACAGUCAUGUUGAGAAAGAAGUACAAGAAAUACCUGCAGGCAAUAGUGGAGAAGAUUGUUAGUGAAACACAAGCUAAUCGGACUACAAGGCUAAAACGAAUUCUUGAAGAAACAAAAGAGACUGAAGGUGAAAGUGAAAUGCGUGAAAGGAUGCAGGCUCUCCGUGCGCAACUCUCUGAUUCCAUACACAACCUCCACGGGGUCUUUUCCUGCAGAAUAUUUGUCGCUAUUUGCCGAGGUUUCUGGGAUAGGUUGGGCCAGAUUGUGUUGAGGUUUCUCGAGAGCAGAAAGGAGAACAGGAUUUGGUACCGUGGAUCCGAUUACGCAUUAGGGAUCCUGGAUGACGUCUUCGCAUCAGAGAUGCAAAAGCUGCUGGGCAACGCUCUCCAGGAUAAGGACCUGGAUCCACCGCAAUCGGUGAUUGACGCUCGCUCUAUCCUCUGUUGA
rnacentral:rRNA from 1 species